rnacentral:rRNA from 1 species
AUUGAACGCUGGCGGCAGGCCUAACACAUGCAAGUCGAACGGUAACAGGAAACAGCUUGCUGUUUCGCUGACGAGUGGCGGACGGGUGAGUAAUGUCUGGGAAACUGCCUGAUGGAGGGGGAUAACUACUGGAAACGGUAGCUAAUACCGCAUAACGUCGCAAGACCAAAGAGGGGGACCUUCGGGCCUCUUGCCAUCGGAUGUGCCCAGAUGGGAUUAGCUAGUAGGUGGGUUAACGGCUCACCUAGGCGACGAUCCCUAGCUGGUCUGAGAGGAUGACCAGCCACACUGGAACUGAGACACGGUCCAGACUCCUACGGGAGGCAGCAGUGUGGAAUAUUGCACAAUGGGCGCAAGCCUGAUGCAGCCAUGCCGCGUGUAUGAAGAAGGCCUUCGGGUUGUAAAGUACUUUCAGCGGGGAGGAAGGGAGUAAAGUUAAUACCUUUGCUCAUUGACGUUACCCGCAGAAGAAGCACCGGCUAACUCCGUG